rnacentral:rRNA from 1 species
GACGAACGCUGGCGGCGUGCUUAACACAUGCAAGUCGAACGGAAAGGCCCUGCUUGCAGGGUACUCGAGUGGCGAACGGGUGAGUAACACGUGGGUGAUCUGCCCUGCACUUCGGGAUAAGCCUGGGAAACUGGGUCUAAUACCGGAUAGGAGCCAUUUUUAGUGUGAUGGUUGGAAAGUUUUUUCGGUGCAGGAUGAGCUCGCGGCCUAUCAGCUUGUUUGUGGGGUAAUGGCCUACCAAGGCGGCGACGGGUAGCCGGCCUGAGAGGGUGGACGGCCACAUUGGGACUGAGAUACGGCCCAGACUCCUACGGGAGGCAGCAGUGGGGAAUAUUGCACAAUGGGCGCAAGCCUGAUGCAGCGACGCCGCGUGGGGGAUGACGGCCUUCGGGUUGUAAACUCCUUUCGCUAGGGACGAAGCUUUUUGUGACGGUACCUAGAUAAGAAGCACCGGCUAACUACGUG